rnacentral:rRNA from 1 species
CCCUUAGAUGUCCUGGGCCGCACGCGCGUUACACUGAUGCAUUCAACGAGCUUAUAACCUUGGCCGAGAGGCCUGGGCAAUCUUGUUAACGUGCAUCGUGAUAGGGAUAGAUUAUUGAAAUUAUUAAUCUUGAACGAGGAAUUCCUAGUAAACGCAGAUCAUCAAUCUGCAUUGAUUACGUCCCUGCCCUUUGUACACACCGCCCGUCGCACCUACCGAUUGGAUGGUCCGGUGAAGCCUCGGGAUUGUGGUUCUUGCCGCUUUAUUGUGGCGUGACCGCGAGAUCUUGUCUAAACCUUAUCAUCUAGAGGAAGGUGAAGUCGUAACA